rnacentral:rRNA from 1 species
CGCCCUUAGAGUUUGAUCAUGGCUCAGGAUGAACGCUGGCGGCGUGCCUAAUACAUGCAAGUCGAACGAAAAGAUGCUUGCAUCUUUGAGUGGCGAACGGGUGAGUAACACGUGAAUAACCUGCCUUAUAGUAGGGGAUAACAUUUGGAAACAGAUGCUAAUACCGUAUAAAACAAUUUUGCAUAAAAUUUGUUAAAAGGCGUUCGCGUCGCUAAAAGAUGGAUUCGCGCUGCAUUAGUUAGUUGGUGAGGUAAAGGCUCACCAAGACGAUGAUGCAUAGCCGAGUUGAGAGACUGGUCGGCCACAUUGGGACUGAGACACGGCCCAAGCUCCUACGGGAGGCUGCAGUAGGGAAUCUUCCACAAUGGGCGAAAGCCUGAUGGAGCAACGCCGCGUGUGUGAUGAAGGCUUUCGGGUCGUAAAGCACUGUUGUAUGGGAAGAAUGGCUUAGGUGAAAAUCUAAGAUUGACGGUACCAUACCAGAAGGUACG